rnacentral:lncRNA from 1 species
GCCUUGUUGGUGCUAGAAUCUAGUUUUGAAUUCACUGUGAAAUCAGCUUGGGAAUAUCUGAGAAGGAGGAAUGACCCUGGAAAUACAUAUAGAAAUAUAUGGGUGAAAGGUCUUCCUAUUAAAAUCUCAUUUUUCAUGUGGAAAGUGUGGAGGAAUAAACUACAUUUGGAUGAAUUUUUUAAAAGAUUGGGUUACCUUAUAGCUUCUAAAUGCUAGUGCUACUCUGAAUCACAGAAGGAGACAAUGCAACAUUUGUUCUUCACAUCAUAUGUAGCAACCAAAGUAUGGAAGUACGUUUUUGGACAUGCAUGUAUUACACUAGAAGGAAUUUCAUUAAAUCAGGCUAUUGUAAAAUGCUGGACUGCAGAUGUUAUACCUAGAGUUAAACCUAUAAUGCAAGCAUUACCUUCUGUCAUUGGGUGGCAGCUUUGGAAGAGGAGGAACAGAGAUAUACAUGGAGAUACUGUAACAGUAAAUAGGGUUAUAUAUCAUGUGUCCAGUACUAUGCAAUCUCUUGUGAAAUUCAGAAAGCCAAACCUGCAGAACGUGCCAUAUACAUGGCUAGACCUUCUGUACAUAUUGGAGUCUUAUCUUCCUAAAUUGAAGUAUGCUAAUGUGUUAUGGGAAUGUCCAAAUUCAGGAUGGAUAAAGGUGAACACAAAUGGGGCAUCAAGGGGAAAUCCUGGGAGGAGCUCAAUAGGAUAUGUGAUAAGAAAUGAAGAGGGAGAUCAAGUAUAUGGCUGUGGAAAAGAAUUGCAUGAAGGAAUAAAUACAGAAGCUGAAGUUAAAGCUAUACUUGAAGAAAUGAAGUUUUGUGUUAGAAAUGAUUAUAUACUCAUUGAAUUUCACACUGAUUUAAUGAUACUUAAGCAUGUUUUAAAUGGGUAAUGGGAUGUACCAUGGAACAUAGCAGAGCAGGUGGAGGAGAUAAAGGAACUAAUGAGCAAAAACAAUGUAACAAUGGCUCACACUCUGAGGGAAGAAAAUAGAUUAGCUGAUCAUUUAGCUAAUUAUGCCUUGGAAUUUGGAGGUAUUGAAACAAAAAAAAUUUGGGAGCUAGAUAUACAAGGAAGGAAUAUAGUAAAUGAUGAUAAGUCACAAUGCCCAUAUAACAAAAUAAAAGUUGCAGGAAACUAGAAGGAGAGGGGGCAACAAGGUGGAGAGGUGGUAUGCUGGCAAUUUUAGUGAUAUAAUAAGAGUGUCAUAUUCAAAUAAGGGUUUAGGAGAAUAUAGUCAGUUCAUUGGAUUGGCUAAAUAUGGGAUCAGGAGGAAAAAUCAUCCACUAUGGUCGAAUCCUUAUGGAGGAGAUCAUAGGAAGAAGUUUUAUAUCUAACAAUUUUUUCUUUUUUGCAGGUGAUGCUAGUGUGUCCAUGAGUUCUCUAUUGGUAAAUCAUCCAUGGGUGGUAUUAGCACAAUGUGCUCAACCCCAGGAUAAGAUAUCAGUAAGGAAUAAAAGUAUGGACACAUGGAGGAUUAUCAGUAGGCUGCAUAUCAUUCUCUAUUGGAAUAAAGUAUACAUGAGACUGCGCAGAAGUUAUGCAUUAGUUGCAAAGCAAUGCAGAGGCAGUAUGGAGCCCAUAAAAUAAAAAAAUGUGGGCUAUACUUACAGAUAGUCAGGAAAUGAGAUCUGCAGCACAAUUCUAUGCUGUAGAAUACAAGAUCCAAAUCAUUUGGGAGGAGAAAAUGAUGGUAUUUGAUUUUUCUAACUUGGUGAUCCUUUUUGCGGAUGAAUCUAUUUGACAUGUGCAUUCGUACUUGCUGCAACUUUCAAGGGUGGUAUUAGUUAUUUUCGCUCAUCCCCCUAAAGGAAUAGCUAUAGCAGGCAUAAUCAUAGGCAUAAUCUCCAAAUAUGAUGAAAAGAUAGUUUUAUCAAAGAAGGAGCAGGGCAAAUGGUACUUAAAAAAGGCAGAAUUAAGGGAUAAUUUUAAUCGAACAUCAAAGGCCAUUGUUGUGAGUCUGACUAAUAAUUUUAUAUAACCUCAAAGGGUGGUUUUAGCACCUAGUGUUCAUUCCCUUUGGGAAGUAUCAAAAGUAAGCAAUAGCAGAAAGAGACUGAUGGCUAUCACUACAACUGGAUCAAGACGUGCAUAUAAUACAGAUCAUUUAAGGCACCAAGCAAAGGCACAGGAAAAUAAAUUAUCAGAAGAGUUUACUGCAAACUUGGGUUAUAGAUGGAUACAACUUCAAAGGGUAGUAUUAGCACGUAGUCCUCAUUCCCGUGGAGAAGUACCAAAUUUAAGCAAAAGAUGCAGGAAAGUAGAACCAACAACUUUUAAAGAUGGAACUAGGCACAUAUGCUGACAUGGUUAGUCUUAGUAUUAAUAUUAAUGAUGUCAACAACAAGUAAUUGGAAGUCACAAGAAGCAGAUAAACAAUGAAGCAAGUGGAUGCAGAAAUGGACAAAAUGUGGACAUGCCUCAUAUUGGACACGAGUUUUAAACUCAAGGGAUACAAAUUGGACUAUAUUGUUAAUGCAAAUUGAUAAGAAGACAUAUGUGGAAGGAUUUCAUGCAGCUAGGACAAAGAGAACUGGAACAGGAAAUUACUUCAAAUGGAAAAAAACAUUGACAUCAGCACAACAAAGGGCAUGAAUCAAAUCGAACAACUGGAAUGAUAUGGACAUACUCAUGAACUGCAAAUCAUAUUGGGAGGGCAUAACAAUUAUCUGGGCAAAGAAAAUUGAGACUCAAGCUUCAAGAAGGAGAGCAACAAAUCAAUAAACUAACACUGGUUACCAACAUGCAACACCAAGCAAGUUACGUCAGAGGGUUUCAAAGGCUAAUUGUUAGCAUAUGUAAUAACACUAGAAUUCAUUAUGAUAUUAGGGUAGAUGUAGGCAUCAAAGUUCAUUUGUUACAUUUUGUAAGAUCUCCAGACAUGCUUGUUUUUUUAUUUUAAAAUAUUUAUAAAACAGCCCUAGGCACAUAGCCUAGUGGAGUUUGCUUAAAAAAUAAAUGAAGGAUUAGCAAACAUCUUGACUAAAUUUCUGACUCAAGAGAGGAUAUCUGAGUAUAACUAUUAUGUUCUCAACAAUGGGAAGGGUCAGCCUUGAAAAUCUGAUGAUAGAAAAGAUAGAGUAAUCCUCAUGACUUACUUGUAUCAAAAGAGAAUAGAAAUACUAAUCAAGGUAAAGAAUGCCCACUGAUUCGAGCUAGGAACAAGGCCCCACAUCUACAACACCAGAAGCGGAAAAUCAAAUUGUUGGAAAGAAGGCUUUUGCAUAGAGACAUCACUUUAUCACCCAUGUAUCUCACUACAAGUAGACUAGACAUCAUGGUAAAAGCUGAGUUCUGUUGAAGGUCUCAGUUAAAUCAAAUGUAUUCUCAUAUGAAGGAUAGUGUAAGUAUCUUGAGGUAUCCUAGUAGAAUACUAAUUUUGGUUCUCUAAUGUCAUCCAAGUAAAUGGAUAAGAAAAGUUCGCCUAAAUUGGGAUAGUAUUUGAGUUCCUAUCUUGUCUCAUAAGGCUCAAUGAAGCAGAAUUCAAUGGCACUCUUAACAGCUAAAGCAGAAUAGGCAUAAUCAAUAUCCUACAAUGGUCAAGUACUAUGGAACAAGCAACAAAGUACAAUAGACCAAGAAACAAAUUGGAAGACCUGAGUCCAACUCAAGAGGGUCCCUGGGAAGAAAACAUUCUAAAAACAAUCGUGUUGCACUGGGGAUGAUGAAACACAACUAAGAACAUGGUUCUUCAUUAUUGGUUAUGAAAGUCAUAGUUAGGUAAAACCUAGCUAAAUUGUUUUCUAGCUAAGUAUAACUCAGAUCUUUACCGUUACAGGUAGAUACACAUGAUGACUAUAGAAGCAGAUGCUGCAGUGCAUGAUGAAUAAGGGGACAAAACUCACUUGCCAGACCUAUCAAGAAACCUAGUUCUCUAACACAGGUUAGUGGUUUCUUGGUUCUUUCAUACACAAUUUAAAAUGAACUAAAAAAAUAAUGCCAUAUCAUCAUCAACGUGACAUACUCUUUAAAGUAGUGUCUCUUUGUCUGAUACGUCAUAACCCAAACGUCACUCAUUUCUCUAAACGAUAUAUCUCCAAGGCAAAAGGGUGUUACCAUUUCAGAACGGGGGCCUCAUCAUAAUUAAAUCAACAACACAACUCUUUAUCUUCCAAACUCAAAAUUCCCUGUUUGUCUUCUCUCUUCUCAAAUCCACACUCCCUCGAGAAUUCUCAGCAUGCCUGAAAAUAAGCAACCGUUAGUAUGCCUGAUAAAACUGUGACUAAGUCCUCACCAGUGAGAAUUCCAGCAAAGGACCUCUCUCCAAACCCUUAAGAAGAGUUUCCUCCACACUCCACUACCUUUGCCACCCUCUCCGAGUCCACUCCUCUAUGAAAGUAUGAAGAUGUUUGUCCUCAUCCAUUCUCACUGGUCAAACAGAGUCAAUAGAGUGAACAAAGAAACCUCGUUUAGGAACCUUCUAGUUUUCUAUGGCUAAGAACUUGAUGUAAAGAACAUGUGACUAGUCAUGAAGAGACUGAAAUCUCUUGGACAAGUGAUGACUUAGAAGGCAUCACUCCUUCAUCUAUUGAAAUCACCAUGGAACCACAAGAAAAUAAAGAAAUAGAGAAUAUGUUUUACAUUACGUCAUAAGAGGUCAUUAUAGAGGAAUGUGCAAGAGAGUCUGAGCCUCAAAGGGAAGAAAUAGAAGAAGAGGGAGCAAUUGUGCCAUUUGAUCAGCCGGCACAAGCUGAUGCUACUGGGUCCCCAAAUAACGAACCUGAUCCUUCCAUGGAGAAUCCAGGCCGGGAGUCAUCUUCCCAGGUCAGUAUUGAUCUUGCUGCCUCUCCCCACUUCGAUGCUGAGACUUUGAAUAUGGGGGUGCUUGAGACAAAUCCUGACAAUGAAGAAUACGCAAAUGAUUUAGUGUAUUCUAACUUCAUCAAGGCUAGGACUAAGCCAACGGUAACUUGAACGCCACCUGCUAAGCGACCUAAUAGACAACUGUAGAAAAAGAAGGCUCUAGAGUUUGCCCUAAAGAAGAGUAAAAGGAGUAGAAGAAGGAGAAAGUUGGUUAAGGAUGGAAAAGUUGUACAAGAAGAGAAUGUUCCUAUAGUGGAUAUGGAUGAGGAAACCAAAGAAGAACCUAGUUCCUUAUACUGAAAGUCUUCAAGGAAAAUGCACUGUCUCUCUCAAUCUGAAAAGCACACCUCUAAGGAUGCUAAGAUUUUUUCCAAGAGUGAUGUUGCGGGUUCUAGUAAAAAGCUGUCAAAACGUUCUGGUGACAAGACAAUGAAGGAGGGUGGUGACAAGUCUUAUGAGGAACAAGUGGAGAAAUCUAGUAAACAUAGGUAGAGCAAGUCACUGGAGAAGGAAAUGUCUGUUGAAAAGUCAAUGAAAGGAAAUAGGGAUAAUGAUGAUGAUAAUAAGGAACCACGUUGCGUCAAGAAAGGAAAGAUGAGUGAAACUCUAAGGUUUGAGAAAGGGAAGCUGGGGAAUCAAAAAGUGUUGUGGGGCUGCACUUUUGCCUCUGACAUUCUAGAGAGUGCUGUGAUGAGACAAGUUUGGAUGUUUGUGAUGCUCAACAGUGGACAAAUUUGUUUACAAGUGAGGCUCCUAUAGUGUAUGAGGAGGAGGUGUUGAGUUUCUAUACUAGCCUCUUCACAGUAGAUGGUGAUCAAAUUUGUGUGUUGGUAAAUGAGGUAGAUAUAGUGAUGGAUUCUUCCUUAUGGGGGCCAAUUAUGGAUGUUCCUAUCGAAGAAUUGUCAUCUGCUCGGGCACUUGCACAACAAACUUUAGAAAUGCCAUUGUCAAGGGCAAGGCACUACAUCAUGUGGAAUAGGUGCAUAAGAAGGCACUCCUUCCAGUUUAUCAACUGCUCUUUGAGAUGGUUAACAAAGUAUUACUUCCUCGUACUGAAAGAAAAUAUGUUGUAUCCAAAGUCAGAGGAGUUUGAAGCACUUCCAAAAUCUCUCAACUGAUAAAUUCUCAGAAUAGUGCCAUUGAGAAGAUUCAGAAGUUGAAGGCUAGGAGCACGAUUCUUGAGAAUCCGCUUAGUCAGUUGAAAGAGGUAUUUAUUUCCAGUGGUUCUCACAGCACAGAGUUUGCACGCCUAUCAAAGGAGAAUUUUGAUCUAAGUAAAUAGGUAUAGGACCUGUAAGAAAGACUGCUCAAUGAGAAACUAUCCGCGAAGCUUGCAUGGAUCUUGUCCUCCAAACUCUUGCUUUCUCUUCCAAGUCCCCUUCCUCCAAUGUCCCUUAGAGAAUGUUCCCUUGGUGUCCAGUGUCUAUCCUUUUAUGUUGUUGUUGGUGAUAUUUUGUUAUUUUUGGUAUAUGUUUUUUAUAUGUUCUAGAUUUUGGAUGGAAAACAAUGACAUAGCUAUUGCCUGUAAUAGUCCAAUUCUUGUAAAUGAAAGUUGUUUCCCUUUUGCUAUCUAUGAUGCUGCUCUUUACUUCUGUCUUUUAUCAUGAUGUGAGCACAUAAGUGAAAUGAGUUAACUAUGAUAGACUUCUUUAUGCUGCUAACAUGUUCUGUCCUCUUUAUGAUGCCAAAAGAGGAAAGAUUUAAUUUAAUAAUCAAAAUAAAGAUGGGGGAACCUCAUUCAAGGGGAACUCACAAAAUUUCAGAAACUGAGGAUAUACAACGUGAAUCUAUCGAUGUCAAUGAAACUUUUUCACCGGUAGUCAAACUGACUACCAUCAGAUGCCUUCUAGCUGCAGCAGUCAAACGGAAUUGGGGAAUUUACCAAUUCGACGUGAAUAAUGCAUUCUUGUACGGUGAUCUAAAUGAGGAAGUGUGUAUGAAAUUACCUCCUGGUAUUAUGUCUCCUCCCCUUAGACAUGUUAGCAGGUUGGAGAAGUCCCUUUAUGGACUUCAAUAUUAUUCUAGGCAAUGGUAUGCAAAGCUGACCACUACAUUAAACUUCAAAGGAUUGAUUCAUUCUUUAAAAGGAUAUUCUCUUUUUUUCAAGAAAACAAACUAUCCUAUCUCAAUUGUUGUUAUUUAUGUCGACGAUAUACUUCUAAUAGAUAAUGACAAUUCAAAACUACGAUCUCCAAAGGAAUUUUUAGACCAAGAGUUCAAAAUAAAGGAUCUCGGAGACUUAUAUUUUUUCAUAAGAAUGGAAGUUGUUCGUGAACCUUAGGGGCUUAUCCUUCAUCAGAGAAAGUUCACUCUAGAUCUUCUCCGGGAGUUCAAUACACUAUAUGUACGCCAUGUCUCUUCUUCUCUUGAUCCAUCUGUCAAGCUAAAUGCUAUGGUUGGUGCUGUCAUACCAGAUCCUACUUUAUAUCAGCAUCUUUUGGGAAACUCAAUUACCUAACACAUACGAGGCCUGAUCUUUCUUUCUCGAUUCGCAUUUAAGUCAGUACAUGCAAGACCCGCGAAAACCUCAUCUUGAUGUAGCUUUUCGAGUGCUACAUUAUCUGUUACGCGAUCCUGGUCUUGGAAUUUUUAUGACAGCCUCUUCCUCUUUUGAGUUGUUGGCUUUUUGUGACUCGGAUUGGGGCUCCUGUCUAGAUUCUCGUUGCUCUGUGAGUGGCUACUUCAUAUCACUUGGUCCUUCUCCUAUUUCAUGGAAAUCAAGGAAGCAAGCCUCAAUCCUGCUAAGUUAUGCCGAGGCUGAGUAUCGCAGCAUGCAGCGAGUUGUUACAGAGCUCACCUGGUUGGUACGUUUGUUUGAUGAUCUCUCAAUCCCCAUAUCACUUCUUGUUCAUCUUCACUCCGACAGUCAAGCUGCAAUCCUAGCUAAGAACCCCGUCUUUCAUGAAAGGACGAAGCACGUGGAGAUUGACUAUCAUUUUGUGCGUCAACAGUAUCUCACAUGUUUAAUUUCCCUCUCUUUCGUCCGAUCUUCUUCUCAUUUGGUAGAUCUAUUUACCAAAUCCCUCACCGGCCUUGUUCAUCGCAAUCUAUUGUGCAAGUUGGGGUCCUCUCGUCCCCCGCCAACUUGAGGGGGGAUGUUGGUGCACAACCUAGAAGUACGCUAGUAGAGAAGAACAAAAAGAAGAACAAAUAUCUCUUAUUUAGAAACACCAAGGAAGAAGAUAGAGGCGGUGGAAGCUAAGUGUUUGUUUGAAGGGUUUC